CCCGCGCCCAGCCCCGCCGGCUCCUGCUCUCCCCGAGCACGCGGCGUUAGCUAAUCUUCUCAGGGACUGCCGAGGCCCUUUCUCCGCCAAACCGCAGGGAGGGAACAGCCCGAGAAGGGAGGGGGCUGGGAAGGGUUUGUUGUUGCUUUUUCUGAAUUAAAAGAAAACAGGGACUAGAGCAAGGAAGAGAGCGAAGUUCAAGGGAGAAUCUGGCAAGUCACCUUGGGCAGCCCCUGGACCGCCGCCAGAGCUCUCUUGGAGAGGGUGAGGACGCCGAGCGUGUGAUGAGCGCCUAACAUUUUCAGAAUAAAGUACCAGACAGGGUACCAGGCCCUGGCCAUGACCACUUCCAGAAUAAUCCCAGGAAUGGAGUGGAGUGGCAAAUCCAGGUGCAGGAGUCCGCAUCCCACUUGCCUCCUGGCUCCACCUGCCUCAGACAGACCCAAGAAAGAAAACAGUGGCUAUGAUGUCUGAGGCUGCUGCGAUGGGUGCUCUCAUAGGUGAGUGGAAAAUUUUUCUACUCUUAAGUCCAGCUCUGUUCCAUGCUGUAGGAAAAUUUUCUACUUCCACGUAUGCCUUUUGUUCUUUCUUCUACCAUUUGCUACAGCAGUGUUAGUGCCUGAACGAUUACAGUCUCUCUCUCUCUAUUUCUUUCUCUGUGUGUGUGUGUGUGUGUGUGUGUCCUCUCCAUAUGUUCUGUGUUAUCACACCCAUUGUAAGAUGGAAAGACAAAGGCCCUGAAAAAUCACUGAGUAGAAAAGGAC
rnacentral:lncRNA from 1 species